UCGAAUCGCACGAUUAACGGUACAUUAAACCACUAACAUAAUUUCUAACAAAAUCAAAUCAAAUCUCUACAAUUAUUUUCUUUUUCCGAUCAUCAUAACUUUAAAUUCCUCAAAAUCAAUCAUCCCGUCGCCGUCACAAUCAACGCCGCCGAUCAUUUUCCGGCACUCAUCCAGCGAGCAUUCUUCCCCAAUACUCUUCAUCACUUUCUGCAACUCUUCAGCAGAGAUCGAUCCAUUUUUAUCCACAUCAAAUACAGAAAAGGCAUCCUUCAAAUUCUCCAUAACUUCAUCGGAAUCGAUGUUCUUCGUGUUAAGCUCGAUGAAUUCACGCAAAUCGAUGAAUCCAUCUCCGUCCCCAUCGACUUCGUUAAUCAUUUCAAUCGAUUCUUCCUCUGUUACAGCGGUUCCUAAACUUGCCAUGAUGAAACCCAGUUCCGAAAACGAGAUUUUUCCGUCGCCGUUGAUGUCAAAUUUGUUGAAUACUUGUUGUAGCUCCUCUUCUAUCAUGACCGGAGUGUUCACCGGCGGGGAAUUCGCCGGCGUUGGGUCAUUUUUUUUCUUCCGAUUGAAAAGAGAUUUAAUUAAUCCCAUUUACUAAUCGAAAAAUAAGUAGUAAAUUAGGGAAGAUUUAUGAGGAUUAUAAAGAGAUUAAUUUGAAAAAAUUAUUUUGGGUUUUUG
rnacentral:misc_RNA from 1 species